UACGUAGGUGGCAAGCGUUGUCCGGAUUUACUGGGCGUAAAGAGCGCGCAGGCGGUCGUUCAAGUCGCGUGUGAAAGCCCCCGGCUCAACUGGGGAGGGUCACGCGAUACUGAUCGACUCGAAGGCAGGAGAGGGUAGUGGAAUUCCCGGUGUAGUGGUGAAAUGCGUAGAUAUCUGGAGGAAUACCGGUGGCGAAGGCGGCAUCCUGGACCGGCAUUGACGCUGAGGAGCGAAAGCCAGGGGAGCAAACGGG
rnacentral:rRNA from 1 species